CCUACGGGAGGCAGCAGUGGGGAAUAUUGGGCAAUGGACGCAAGUCUGACCCAGCGACGCCGCGUGCGGGAUGAAGGCCUUCGGGUUGUAAACCGCUUUCAGCAGGGAAGAAGCGAAAGUGACGGUACCUGCAAAAGAAGCACCGGCUAACUAUGUGCCAGCAGCCGCGGUAAUACAUAGGGUGCAAGCGUUGUCCGGAAUUAUUGGGCGUAAAGAGCUCGUAGGUGGUUAGUUACGUCGGGUGUGAAAAUCUGGGGCUCAACCCCAGACCUGCACUCGAUACGGGCUAGCUAGAGUUUGGUAGGGGAGACUGGAAUUCCUGGUGUAGCGGUGGAAUGCGCAGAUAUCAGGAGGAACACCAAUGGCGAAGGCAGGUCUCUGGGCCAAUACUGACACUGAGGAGCGAAAGCGUGGGGAGCGAACAGGAUUAGAUACCCUGGUAGUCCACGCCGUAAACGGUGGGCGCUAGUUGUGGGGACCUUCCACGGUCUCUGCGACGCNGCUACGCAUAGUCGCCCGCCCGUCGGGUAGGUACGAGUCGCGAAGAAGUUAAACUACAAAUAAGUAAGUUAGUUACGGCGUGAGACGUGCCGACGGACGACGACGAGGGAGGAGG
rnacentral:rRNA from 1 species